AUUGAACGCUGGCGGCAGGCCUAACACAUGCAAGUCGAACGGUAACAGGAAGCAGCUUGCUGCUUCGCUGACGAGUGGCGGACGGGUGAGUAAUGUCUGGGAAACUGCCUGAUGGAGGGGGUUAACUACUGGAAACGGUAGCUAAUCCCGCAUAACGUCGCAAGCCCAAAGAGGGGGACCUUAGGGCCUCUUGCCAUCGGCUGUGCCCAGAUGGGAUUAGCUAGUAGGUGGGGUAACGGCUCACCUAGGCCACGAUCCCUAGCUGGUCUGAGAGGAUGACCAGCCACACUGGAACUGAGACACGGUCCAGACUCCUACGGGAGGCAGCAGUGGGGAAUAUUGCGCAAUGGGCGAAAGCCUGAUGCAGCCAUGCCGCGUGUAUGAAGAAGGCCUUCGGGUUGUAAAGUACUGUCAGCGGGGAGGAAGGGAUUAGAGUUAAUACCUGUGCUCAUUGACGGUACCCGCAGAAGAAGCACCGGCUAACUCCGUG
rnacentral:rRNA from 1 species